rnacentral:rRNA from 1 species
AUUGAACGCUGGCGGCAGGCCUAACACAUGCAAGUCGAGCGAGCGGCGGACGGGUGAGUAAUGUCUGGGGAUCUGCCAGAUAGAGGGGGAUAAAUACUGGAAACGGUGGCUAAUAGCGCAUACUAUCGGAUGAACCCAUAUGGGAUUAGCUAGUAGGUGGGGUAAAGGCUCACCUAGGCGACGAUCCCUAGCUGGUCUGAGAGGAUGAUCAGCCACACUGGGCCUGAGACACGGCCCAGACUCCUACGGGAGGCAGCAGUGGGGAAUAUUGCACAAUGGGCGCAAGCCUGAUGCAGCCAGGCCGCGUGUAUGAAGAAGGCCUUAGGGUUGUAAAGUACUUUCAGCGGGGAGGCGUUACCCGCAGAAGAAGCACCGGCUAACUCCGUGCCAGCAGCCGCGGUAAUAC